rnacentral:rRNA from 1 species
GACGAACGCUGGCGGCGUGCUUAACACAUGCAAGUCGAACGGAAAGGCCCUGCUUUUGUGUGGUGCUCGAGUCGCUAACGUGUGAGUAACCCGUGAGUAACCUUCCCUUUACUUUGUGAUAACUUCAGGCAACUGGGGCUAAUACCUGAUAGGAGCUCCUGCUGCAUGGUGGUGGUUGGAAAGUUUCGGCGGUUGGGGAUGGACUCGCGGCUUAUCAGCUUGUUGGUUGGGUAGUGGCUUACCAAGGCUUUGACGGAUAGCCGGCCUGAGAGGGUGAACGGCCAAAUUGGGCCUGCGAGACGGCGCAGACUCCUACGGGAGGCAGCAGGGGGGAAUAUGGCACAAUGGGGGGAAGUCUGAUGAAGAAAUGCCGGGAGCGGGAUGAAGGCCAAGGGGUUGUAAACCGCUGUCGCCUGUGACGAAGCGUGAGUGACGGUAAUGGGUAAAGAAGCACCGGCUAACUACGUG